AACGAACGCUGGCGGCAUGCCUAACACAUGCAAGUCGAACGAGACCUUCGGGUCUAGUGGCGCACGGGUGCGUAACGCGUGGGAACCUGCCCUUAGGUUCGGAAUAACUCCCCGAAAGGGGUGCUAAUACCGGAUAAUGUCUUCGGACCAAAGAUUUAUCGCCUUUGGAUGGGCCCGCGUUGGAUUAGCUAGUUGGUAGGGUAAAAGCCUACCAAGGCGACGAUCCAUAGCUGGUCUGAGAGGAUGAUCAGCCACACUGGGACUGAGACACGGCCCAGACUCCUACGGGAGGCAGCAGUGGGAAUAUUGGACAAUGGGCGAGAGCCUGAUCCAGCAAUGCCGCGUGAGUGAUGAAGGCCUUAGGGUUGUAAAGCUCUUUUACCCGGGAUGAUAAUGACAGUACCGGGAGAAUAAGCUCCGGCUAACUCCGUG
rnacentral:rRNA from 1 species